UAGGAUGCACAGGUGAACACACUCAGAACUCUCAAGAAGAUUGUAUCUGGGCCAUAAGUUGGGGCAUCAAUUCUGCUUUUUCAAAUCACCAACCACAAGGCUCAGAUUGUGAAAGAUUUUUGAACUUCCAGAAACAGCUAUGAAGCAGACGACUCACCGCAGUGAAGACACCACGGAAAGGACCAUCUCAACUGUCUAACCUCAGACUGAAUUUGCACAGAUGCUGUUCAAUACCCCCUUCAUUACUAACCGACUGGAAAGUAACUCCUCCUCAUGUGAUAUGAAUAUAUCAUCCUGCUUCUUUCCAAAUACAGAGCAAAAAUAUUUAUUGAAAAACUUCCGUCUUUUCUGCAUCUGCACAGAUAACUUUCUUUAAAUCAAGAGUGGCGUAAGCAAAAGCAGAAAGAUAAAGCUGAGUGGUGCUGUUGAAGAGAAAUAAUGGCACUAAGGCCACUCUUUCUGCCUAUGUGGAAGAAAGAAUGGCAGUACAGAAAGAAUCAAACCAAAACCUCAGAGUCUCCUUCCAAGGAGAGAAAAGUGAAACUAUGCAAUCAAAACUACAGACAAGCCCAACCAACAGCUAGAACAGCUACAUUGGCAGACUACCAUAAAGAACAAUGUGCAAUGCUGACUCAAGAGACAGAGAAUCACAGCCCCAUAUGGAAAAAAAAUCUUUCAAGUGGAAGAAAGAACGGACAACAACUAGGGAUGAAUGAAAAAUAUUAGAGACUGAGGUGUGGGAUGGACCAGAGAAGUGCAGGGGCCUGAGAAUUAUUAUGUAUUUUGCUGAAGGGAAAGAAGAAAUAAAGCAAGAAGCCUGGGAUUUGGAUCAGAUUUAUCUCUGUUUCCACAUUUACAUAAAAGUGUCUCAAAAUAUGGAGUCUCUCCAAG